UACGGAGGAUCCAAGCGUUAUCCGGAUUUAUUGGGUUUAAAGGGUGCGUAGGCGGAUUAGUAAGUCAGUGGUGAAAGCCUGCAGCUUAACUGUAGAACUGCCAUUGAUACUGCUAAUCUUGAAUAUAGUUGAGGUAGGCGGAAUAUGACAUGUAGCGGUGAAAUGCUUAGAUAUGUCAUAGAACACCGAUUGCGAAGGCAGCUUGCUAAGCUAUUAUUGACGCUGAGGCACGAAAGCGUGGGUAGCAAACAGG
rnacentral:rRNA from 1 species